rnacentral:rRNA from 1 species
UACGUAGGGGCAAGCGUUGUCCGGAAUUAUUGGGCGUAAAGAGCGCGUAGGCGGUCCGAUAAGUCGGCUGUGAAAGUCAGGGGCUCAACCCUUGGAAGCCGGCCGAUACUGUCGGACUAGAGUCCGGAAGAGGCGAGUGGAAUUCCCGGUGUAGCGGGUGAAAUGCCGAGACGAUCGGCGGAAGAACACCCGUGGCGAAGGCGGCUCUCUGGGACGGUACUGACGCUGAGGAGCGAAAGCCGGGGAGCGAACGGG